GAUUAACGCUGGCGGCGUGCCUAAUGCAUGCAAGUCGAACGUGGUCCCUUCGGGGGCAAACGUGGCGGACGGGUGAGGAACACGUGGGGAACCUGCCCAGCGGUGGGGGGUAGCCCGCGGAAACGCGGGGUAAUUCCGCAUACGCUCAUUCGGGGGUAGCCCGGAUGAGGAAAGGGCUCUUUCGAGAGCUCGCCGGUGGAGGGGCCUGCGUCCGAUUAGCUGGUUGGUGGGGUAACGGCCUACCAAGGCGGUGAUCGGUAGCUGGUCUGAGAGGACGGCCAGCCACAGGGGGACUGGGACACGGCCCCCACUCCUACGGGAGGCAGCAGCAAGGAGUUUUCCGCAAUGGGCGCAAGCCUGACGGAGCAACGCCGCGUGGGGGAUGACACCUUUCGGGGCGUAAACCCCUUUUCUUGGGGACGAAGCAGUGACGGUACCCGAGGAAGAAGGCCCGGCUAACUACGUG
rnacentral:rRNA from 1 species